CCUACGGGAGGCAGCAGUGAGGAAUAUUGGUCAAUGGCCGGAAGGCUGAACCAGCCAAGCCGCGUGAAGGACGAAGGUGCCAAGCAUUGUAAACUUCUUUUGUCAAGGGACAAAAUCAGGCUCGAGAGCCUGACCGAGGGUACUUGAAGAAAAAGCAUCGGCUAACUCCGUGCCAGCAGCCGCGGUAAUACGGAGGAUGCGAGCGUUAUCCGGAUUUAUUGGGUUUAAAGGGUGCGUAGGCGGGCUGUUAAGUCAGCGGUGAAAGGCCGGGGCUCAACCCCGGCGGAGCGUUUGAAACUGGCUGUCUUGAGAUGUGGAGAGGUAUGCGGAAUGCGCGGUGUAGCGGUGAAAUGCUUAGAUAUUGCGCAGAACUCCGAUUGCGAAGGCAGCAUACCGACGGCGAUCUGACACUGAGGCACGAAAGCGUGGGUAUCAAACAGGAUUAGAUACCCCAGUAGUC
rnacentral:rRNA from 1 species